rnacentral:rRNA from 1 species
UGAGGAAUAUUGGUCAAUGGGCGCAAGCCUGAACUAGCCAAGUAGCGUGCAGGAUGACGGCCCUAUGGGUUGUAAACUGCUUUUAUACAGGUAUCAAGUUAGCCACGUGUGGUUAUUUGUAGGUACUGUAUGAAUAAGGACCGGCUAAUUCCGUGCCAGCAGCCGCGGUAAUACGGAAGGUCCAGGCGUUAUCCGGAUUUAUUGGGUUUAAAGGGAGCGUAGGCCGUCUGUUAAGCGUGUUGUGAAAUGUAGAUGCUCAACAUCUGAAUUGCAGCGCGAACUGGCAGACUUGAGUGUGCGCAACGUAGGCGGAAUUCGUGGUGUAGCGGUGAAAUGCUUAGAUAUCACGAAGAACUCCGAUUGCGAAGGCAGCUAACGGGAGCACAACUGACGCUGAAGCUCGAAAGUGCGGGUAUCGAACA